ACCAACACAAAGUUUGUUCACUUUCCUGAAUCCUUUCCUAUCAAUUCCAUUCAUUCAUUACAGGGAGCAAAAAAUGAUCCCGUGGUUGAAUUUGGUGUCUUUACUAGUAUUCCUUCAAGGUGUCAAAUCUCAAGGACAGUUGGUGGAGUCUGGAGGGGGUGUGAGAAGACCUGGAGGGUCCCUCCGUCUCUCGUGCCAAGCCUCUGGAUUCACCUUCAGCACCUCCUGGAUGCACUGGGUGAGACAGGCUCCAGGGCAAGAACUAGAAUUUGUGGCCACAAUACUUACAGGCUCAUCUCCUUCCAUUUACUACCCUGAUAAAUUCACAGGACGCUUCACCAUCUCCAGGGAUGAUUCCCGCAGUCAGCUGUAUUUGCAAAUGAACAAUCUGAAACCUGAGGACACAGCUGUCUAUUACUGUACGAGAUACACAGUGAGAGGAAGUGGAUGUGAUGCCAGGCAAAAACCUUCUCUUCCUCUCUGCAGCUCUGCAAAAUGA